rnacentral:misc_RNA from 1 species
ACAGAAAGAGCAUGCCAUGAAAAGUAAAUUUUUUCCUCUGUUACAAUAAUUGUUAUCCUUUUUUUUUUGUUAUUGUUUUCUUUUCCUAUUGCUAAUUUAUCAUUUACUUUUCUGAAAUUUUUUCAAAUAUGUAACAUAGGCCUAAGUCAUGAAAUGUGAAAUUCACUUUUUCGCUGGAGUAUGAGCUCUAUAUAGUGCCAUAGAGUAGAUAAACA